rnacentral:rRNA from 1 species
UGGGAAUUUUGGACAAUGGGCGAAAGCCUGAUCCAGCCAUGCCGCGUGCAGGAUGAAGGCCUUCGGGUUGUAAACUGCUUUUGUACGGAACGAAAAGACUCUGGUUAAUACCUGGGGUCCAUGACGGUACCGUAAGAAUAAGCACCGGCUAACUACGUGCCAGCAGCCGCGGUAAUACGUAGGGUGCAAGCGUUAAUCGGAAUUACUGGGCGUAAAGCGUGCGCAGGCGGUUAUAUAAGACAGAUGUGAAAUCCCCGGGCUCAACCUGGGAACUGCAUUUGUGACUGUAUAGCUAGAGUACGGCAGAGGGGGAUGGAAUUCCGCGUGUAGCAGUGAAAUGCGUAGAUAUGCGGAGGAACACCGAUGGCGAAGGCAAUCCCCUGGGCCUGUACUGACGCUCAUGCACGAAAGCGUGGGGAGCAAACAGGAUUAGAUACCCUGGUAGUCCACGCCCUAAACGAUGUCAACUGGUUGUUGGGUCUUCACUGACUCAGUAACGAAGCUAACGCGUGAAGUUGACCGCCU